AGUGAACGCUGGCGGUAGGCCUAACACAUGCAAGUCGAACGGCAGCACAGUAAGAGCUUGCUCUUACGGGUGGCGAGUGGCGGACGGGUGAGGAAUACAUCGGAAUCUACUUUUUCGUGGGGGAUAACGUAGGGAAACUUACGCUAAUACCGCAUACGACCUACGGGUGAAAGCAGGGGAUCUUCGGACCUUGCCCGAUUGAAUGAGCCGAUGUCGGAUUAGCUAGUUGGCGGGGUAAAGGCCCACCAAGGCGACGAUCCGUAGCUGGUCUGAGAGGAUGAUCAGCCACACUGGAACUGAGACACGGUCCAGACUCCUACGGGAGGCAGCAGUGGGGAAUAUUGGACAAAGGGCGCAAGCCUGAUCCAGCCAUACCGCGUGGGUGAAGAAGGCCUUCGGGUUGUAAAGCCCUUUUGUUGGGAAAGAAAAGCAGCAGGUUAAUACCCCGCUGUUCUGACGGUACCCAAAGAAUAAGCACCGGCUAACUUCGUG
rnacentral:rRNA from 1 species